AGCCACUCCCCUUCCCCCACAGCCUCAGGAAGACCCACUCCCCUCCCAGUCUUCCCCCUGUCCCCCCACAACACAGCAGUCUCCUUUGUGACAUUGCUAGGAUGGCUGGGAAUCAGAUCCUCUACCUCCCAGGGGCCUCUCCAGUGUGAGAGCCACAUCAGCUUUCCAGUAUCCCCCACUGUGGUGGCCCAGACACCCGCUGGCUGCCCAUGACCUUCAAGCAGUGCUAGGAUUCUCUUUCAGCUCUCCUCCCUGUUCCCCCAGCUUCAGUCCCCACUGCUUGUGGCCAGCCUUAAGGCUGCUGUCUCUGCAGCCACCAGGGGAGGAUCAGGUGUGUAGUGACUGGGGCCUGACUCCUCCCUGGGGCCCAGGAGAAAUCGAACAUUUUCUCUUCCCAUCUUUGACUCGGCAGCCUGAGAGCCUGAGCCCCCACUUCUGAAACUGGAGCAGAGAAAUGCGUGCGGUUGGGAAACCGCCUGCAGAACUUGGCUGGAUCCUGGGCAGCCUGAGGCACUAGGUUUGUGGUAAUUUACAACAGCAGCAAUAAGAAACUAAUACAAUGAAGAACCGAAUACCGGCCUUUUACAUAAAGACAGGAUCAGGAGAUGAUAGGCCCCCGGCCUGGGGACAACAGCCUUUGUGCCCACUCAGUUCAGCCCUUGAACUGCAGUGAUAUCUUUCUGGAAGUGUCCUGUCCUCCAUUCAAUCUGGAUGGAUUCUUCUCUGGGACUGCUGCCUAGCUCUCAUCCUGGGAGUUCCCUUUACACUUAUCUGACAAAUGCCAUGUACCUUUUGCCUCUGUUACAUUCCUUCUUUCCUGGGCCAUAAAAUCUUCUCUUUCUUGAUUG